AUUUAUAUAGUUUAUAUUUAAAACAUUACACUUUCAUUGUAAAAUUAGAAAUCUAAUUUCUUAUGAAUA
rnacentral:tRNA from 1 species